UGAAAAGUUAGAUUUGAUCUGCCAGUGAAGACCUUUAGAUGAUGUUAAUCUGGAGCAGCAAACGGAGGCUUUGGAGGGAUUUUCUGACUGAUGCUUGUGGUGGACUACGUUUCAAGAGUGGGAUCUUCAAAAAGUUCUUUUGUGUUGGUGCGAGUGGAUCCCUUUAACUUCAGCUCCACACAACAGAUCUGAGCUCCCUCAAAGGUCAGCUGUCCUCUCGGGUUCUGGUUGGUCGUCUCUGCAGGAUUGUGAGG